ACAUUGGCCCUAUUUGAAUUUCCCGCUAAUGUGCCGAAUCUUUUUAAAAUGUUGAAGCGAGGACAUCCUAGGUAACAGAAGAUUCCUAGAUGGUCGGAAUCAUGCGCCCCAAUGACCAGAAGACCUCUCUUACACUCGCAACCCAUUGCCAGAAUUAAAAUGUAAUCAAGGGUGUUUUAGUUAUUUGAUCGAGGGAUCGUCGUGUAAUAAAAUAUUUUGUCUUUGCCUAAAUAAAAUAGAACAAAUCACUGGACUAGCGGUCUCGGAAAUGGGUUAAGAUGAUGGC
rnacentral:lncRNA from 1 species